UUAUCCAUCCCUGUUCUGGUAUUCCAAUCACUAGCAAGUUAUUCUUCUUGAUAGAGUCCCACAUGAUUCUUAGGGUUUCUUCAUUUUUUUUAAUUCUUUUAUCUGAUUUUUCUUCAAAUAUCUUGGUGCCCAGUGACUUAUCAUCCAUCUCCACAAUUCUGCCUUCCAGUUCCUCAAUUCUGCUGGUCUGACUUCCUAUUGAGUUGUCUAAUUCUGUAAUUUUAUUGUUAAUCUUUUGGAUUUCUGAAUGGUGUCUCUCUGUGGAUUCUUGCAGCUUAUUAGAUUUUUCAUUAUGUUCUUGAAGAAUCUUUUUAAUUUCUUCAACUGCCUUAUCUGUGUGUUUCUUUGCUUUUUCUGUACAUUGCCUGAUUUCAUUCCAGAUGUCAUUCCUGAUGUCUUGAAGUGUUCAGUUUACUAAUCUUUUGUAUUCUAUAUCUUGCAAUUCCAGAAAUACAUCUUCUUCAAGGAGAGACCUUUAUUGUGUGUUUUGGGAGCUGUAGAAGUAAUCAUGGUCUGCUUCUUUAUGUGAUCUGAUAUCAACUGCUGUCACAAGCCAUCUAUAAGUUACUGUAAUAAUUGAUAUUAUGUUUGCUCACUGUGUCCUAUCUUUUUUUUGUUUUGUUUUAAUAUACCCAGGUAGGCUACUAGAGUGUGCCAACUUGAUUAUUGGAGCCUUUAGAGCACUAAUGUCCUGUUACCAGAUGGUUAGAGCUGUUACCAGGUAUAAGAGCCUAUGAAUCCAUUCGCUAUUCUUGGAUAGAAUCAGUUCAGGUGUCCUGAUAGUCGGUCACCUACUGUGUGGUAUAGGCUCUCACCUACUGUCUUAGAGGAGUAGUGGUGAUGGUUGUAUGCACUGGCUUCUGGUAGCGGGAGGGGGUCACACUCUGAGGUGGGCAGGGUGGUGACAGCCUUCCCCCAAGUGUCAUUGAACAAGGAGCCUCUCUGUUCUCUAGAGUGCUGUGGUGCAUGGGCUCUGCAGGUGUACCUUAGGCACCCAGUGCUUAUACCUGUAAAGACUCGUAGGCACCACUAUCCUCAGAGCCCUUUCACGGGUGGCUAGGUGGCGUGGGUAGAACCUUAGCCCUCAGGUUCCUGCCGUGGGUAGGUUAGGGCUCUGUUUAAUAGGUAGAGUGGUGUCAGACCUCCAAAACCUGCCUGUCCACUGUGUUGCUGAAACAAUUACAGUGAGACCUCCAACAGAUUGGCCUUUGCAUUAUAAUAGCCACCUGGUUCCAUGCAGGGGUGAACGCCAAAGUCUAUGGAUCGCUUAUGCCUGGACUGGAGCCACUUCUGCUCUGGGCUUCCAGUUUAGGGGAGUCAGGUAAGUAUUUUUUCCCUGUUUGUUAAUUUGCUCCUUCUCCCAGGCCAGAAGAAUGGGUCAGAGAGAGUGUGCUGCAAGUUCUGUCUCAGGCCCAGGGAAUUCAAAUGUUAUUGAAGCUGGCUGGGGCAGGGGGAUGAGGGAACAGAUAGAUAGGAUAGAGAACUUUCAGAAGAAGGAGCUAUUAGAUCCAUGUGGUAAAUUAAACAAAAUCACAUAUCUAGUGUUAGAGCUCUGUUUUAUCUCAGAUUCCAGAGGCGUGUGGAGCCUGUGUGCAUUGGCUGGGUCUCUACCGAGAUUACCCUGGGGGUUAGGGCUGCGUCCUGUGUUUGCCUUCUUUCUGUGAAGCAGCUUUGUCCCAAACCCCACCACCAGAUCUGUGGCCGUCACACAAGGGGCUUGGGGUGCUGGCCCUUUGCCUUUUUUUCCACUGAAGUAGCCACUUCCUAAACUCCACAGGUAGGUCCGCUGAAGGCACACCACAGGGUCAGGAAUGCGCCUCUUUUGUUUGCCUUCGUUUGGUGAUUUUGCCACGUCUCAGGAAGCUACCAUCAGCCCCACUGCCUUCGCACCAAAGAAUAGCACCAAGGAAUCGGAGCUGAGGUGCUGAGCGGGCUCAGCAACUUGUCGCUGCUUCUGCAUGGCCUCUAGCUCCACUGUCACUCAGGUCGAUUCCUUAGUUCCGUGUUUGAUGCUCAGGGUUUGUAGAUUGUCACAUAUGUAAUGGAUUCACCUGGUUUUUCAGGUCUUUGUUGCAAGAGGGUUCAGUGGAAACUUCUGACUAGUUAGCCAUCUUCGCCCUUUCCUUUUCAUUUUUUACCAUUUCCAGUUUUCGUGGAUUCAUACGUGGUACAUUUCACAUUCUGGUUAUUAAUGGAUAUUUGCAGCCCCAUGUGUCUGUCAGUUUGUUUUAUUGUGGGGGCUUGUGUGUUGCUGUGAUUCUGGAAGCUAUGCCACUGGUAUUUGGAUGUGAGCAGUGUCACCCAUAGUGGAUAGGUUUCAGCUGAUCUUCCAGGCUAAGACAGACUAGGAAGAAGGACCAGGCGGUCUACUUCUGAAAAGACCUCCCCAGUGAAAACCUUAUGAAUAGCAGUGAAACCUUGUCUGAUACAGUGCUGGAAGAUGAGGCCCCAAGUUUGAAGGCAGUCAAAAGUCAUUCCAGGGGUUCAGUAGUAUAUUUGAGAGGGCAGAAGAAAGAAUCAACAAACUUAAAGAAAGGUCAAUUGAGAUUAUCCAGUCAGAGAAGCAGAAGAUGAAAAGAAUGGGGGGAAAAAUCAAAGAACAAAACCAAAAAAAAAAAAAAAAAAACAGCCUAGAGGACCUGUGGGAUAACAUCAAGUGUACCAAUAUACACAUAAUGGGAGUACCAGAGGGAAAGGAGAGAAAGGGGCCAGAAGAAUAUUUGAAGGAAUAAUGGUUGAAAAGUUUCCAGAUUGGAUGUUGUUGUUAGGUGCCGUCAAGUCUGUUCCGACUCAUAGCGACCCUAUGCGCUGCCUGGUCCUGCGCCAUCCUUACAAUCGUUGUUGUGCUUGAACCCAUUGUUGCAGCCAGUGUGUCAAUCCACCUCGUUGAGGGUCUUCCUCUUUUCCGCUGACCCUGUACUUUGCCAAGCAUGACGUCCUUCCCCAGAGACUGAUCCCUCUUGACAACAUGUCCAAAGUAUGUAAGACGCAGUCUCACCAUCCUUGCUUCCAAGGAGCAUUCUGGCUGUACUUUGUCCAAGACAGAUUUUUUCAUUCUUGUGGCAGUCCAUGGUAUAUUCAAUAUUCUUCGCCAACACCACAAUUCAAAGGCAUCAGUUCUUCUUUGAAGAAGAAUUGCAUGUGAAAGCUGAAAAAUGAUUUAAUGAAAGACAUAAAUCUACAUCCAAGAAGUUCAAUGAACUGUAAGCAGGAUAAACUCAAAGAGAUCCACGUAGAGACAUGUUACAGACAAAUCUGUUGAAAGAAAAAGACAAACGGAAUUUUGAAAACAACAAGAGAGGAGGGUGUCAUCACAUAGAUGGGCUUCUCAAUCAGAUAACAGUCACUUUCUCAUUAGAAACUGUGGAGGCCAAAAGUCAGUGGGAUAGAGUCCAUAAAGUAUUGAAAGUAAAAAAAAAAGAAGUGAGAUAAGAAAAACUAUUUCUUUAAAAAUGAAGAAGUUAAGAAAUUUUCAGAUUAAUGGAAACUGAGGGAGUUAAUCACCAGUACAACUAACCUACAAGAAAUGCUAAAGGGGGUCUCCCAAGAUAAACUGAAAAGACAUUAGACAGUAACUAGAAGCCAUUUGAAGAAAUAAAGAAAAAUGUUAAAGUAGCUACAUAGGUAAAUAUUAAAGGUAUUAUUGCAUAUUUGAUUUUUAAGUACUCUUUUUUCUUAGAUUUUUUUUCCAUAUAUAAUAUAAAGAACAAAUGCAUAAGUCAAUAAUUGUAAAGGUAAGUUCAUAGGCACACAAUGUAAAAAGACCUAGUUUGUGACUAUAACAGCAUAAUGGGGGGCAGUAUGGCACUGAAAAGGAGUAAAGUUUUUUUUACGCUAUUGAAAUUAAGUCAGUAUUAAUUCAAACUUGAUUUCUAUAAAGUUAAUAUGUUAAUUGAAAUUCCUAGGUUAAUGACUAAGGGAAAACUAAGAUAUAUACAGAAUAAGAAAUGAGAUGGGAAUCAAAUUGGUACACUGGGGAAAAAAUGAUGAAACAGAACUGAAAGCAGUACUGGAGGAACUGAGGAACAAAAAAGAUUUAAGACGUAGAAAAUAGAUAGUAAGAUGACUGAUAAGUCCUUUCUUAUCAGUAAAUUAUUUUAAAUAUAAUUUGAAUAAACUCUAUAACAAAAACACAUAUUACUGAAUCUUUAAAAACAUCUUGAUCCAGCUGGAUGCUCUUUACAAGAAACUCACAUUAGAGGGGGUAUUGCAUGGUUUAAAAUUAGUUAAGGUGUGCGUCAGGGUUGUAUCCUUUCACUACACUUACUUAAUCUGUAUAAAACAUUUGUCUUCUGGUUUUAUAAGUAUUCUUUUAGCAAUGAACAUAAAUGCUAAGUGUCUUAGGCUGGGUUCUCUAGAGAAGCAAAACCAGUGGAGUGUCUAAAUAUAUAUAGCUAGAGAGAGAGAGAGGUUUAUAUGAAGGAAAUGGCUCACGCGUUGUAGAGGCUGGAAACUCCCAAGUAAGGCUGAAGGCUUCUUCUGACUCACAGAGUUGGCAAAUCCAAGAUCCAGACCACAGAGACUGAUGAACUCAAGGUCAGCAAGUGUCAUGGAUUGAAUUGUAUCCCUCCAAAAUAUCUGUCAACUUGGCUAGGUCAUGAUUCCCAGUAUUGUACGAUUUUCCACCAUUUGGUCAUCUGAUGUGAUAUCCCUAUGUGUUGGCAAUCCUCUCUCUCUGAUGCUGAUGAGAUGGAAUUAACAGCCUUUAUGUAAACUCAAUCUAGAAGAUGAGAUUGUGUCUUAAGCCAAUCUAUUUUGAGACAUAAAAAAGAAAAGCCAGCAGAGAGACAAGGGGACCUCACACUACCAAGAAAGCAGUGCCGAGAGCAGAGCCUAUCCUUUGGACCUGAGGUUCCUGUACAGAGAAACUCCUAGACCAAGGGAAGAUUAAUGACAAGGACCUCCCUCCAGAGCUGACUGACAGAGAAAGCCUUUGCCUGGAGCUGACGCCCUAAAUUUGGACUUGUAGCCUACUAAACUGUGAGAGAAUAAAUUUCCUUAAAGCCAUGCACUUGUGAUAUUUUUGUUAGAGCAGUACUGAAUAACUAAGACAGCAGGCAAGCUGCUAGCUCAAGUCCCAAGAAAGAACUGGAGGUCAGAUGAACAGAAGCCAGCUGCAAUAUCCAGAGCAAGCAAACUAGUGAGCCUUACUAGAAAGCCCACCUAUAUUGGAUGCAGGCACAACCCCAAGGAAAUUUCCUUUCAGCUGAUUGGCUACUCAUAGCAGAUCCCAUCAUGGAGGUGAUCACAUUAUAGCAGGUCUCAUCAUGAAGAUGAUUUCAUCAUUAUACAACUGCCAAAUUACAUCAUAACUGAUAAUCCACUGAGAAUCAUGGCCCAGCCAAGUUGACACACAGUCUUAAUAAUCACACUAAGUAACCCACUUUGUCAUGAAUGCUAGGGUGGUCAUUACCAGAAAAUAAUUGAUUUCAGAGGCUUUGACAAAUAUGAUGUGCCGUAAAUAUAUAGCAUUAUUUAUUUUGACACGUAUUUAUAUACUGCUUCUUUCUCCAAAAGUCUGUGAACUGGUUUUUGAAAAAAAGCAAUUGUUUGUCUUUUCUGUGGCUUAUUGGCAUUGGUCGUUGAGCACUGGGGCUAGCAUUUUGAGAAAGAUGUCAUUAAUAUGAAUGUGAGACAAAACCACAGACAAUUAAAAUAAUUUUUAUGUUGCCGUUGGUCUCAUAGCCUUCCUGUGAAUCAAUCACAUGUGACUUAAGACUGUGUUUGAACCAACUUCUCACUUUGUGCAUUGUAAACAACACUCAUCACAAAAUUCAGAUAAAAGGUAAAAAGGAAUUAUGUGGUAGUACAAGAAUCUCAGUGCUAUUUUUACAGGAAACAUUGUAUGUACUUACCAUGAGCCAAGUGUCAAUACCUUCUAGCUGAAGACCGUCAGGAACACACCUGUAGCUAAAUCAUCGAAGACAGAGCCCAUUAGGAGUGGCAGGGGUGGUGGAGUGAAAGUGAGAGAGGGUAAGCAAAAGUUACAAAGCAAAGACUAUGUCUUGUACAUUUAGCAGGGUGGGAAAGGCAAGGAGCAGAGCAUUUGCAUAGGCUUGAUGUUUUGUAAUGGCGCUGGUUGUGGGAAGAAAGCAAUAUGCAAUAGGUUGGGGGCAGAUUAUGUAAGGUCUUGAAUGUGAAGCUAAGGCAUUAAUCUUGUAGGAAGAGACAUCGAACAUUACUGAAGGGAGUUAGAAAAAUCGCAAGAACUAGUAACAGAAUCGCAUCUAAUUCUGACUUGCCUAACAGGGCAUGAAGUGCACAAAGCUAAGGUUUAGUACGGUGCCUUUCAUAUCAUUUUGGUCAGAAGCCACAGUAAGAAUACAUCCUAUGCCGAAACCCAGUAUACAGUACUGAUGCACACAUACACACACAACUGAAACUUAAGAUAAACAAGACUUUGCCUUAUCAUGUGUGCAACAUUAUUUUCUACUCCACUCCACUCCACCUGCUUCUGCUUCUGCUUUACUUCACUUGAUUGUACUUCAUGCUUGUGUAUACUCAUUAUUUUUUUGUAUCUACAAAGGAAUGGCCAAAAGUUUGAAAAAUAGUGUUUUACAAAGAUAAAUUAGUGAGGAAAGUGAACUGCAGGGUACAAAAUAGGGGUAGGAUGGUACUUAUUAGGUGAUAGCAUUGUUCAUUUACUAAUAAACUCCUUAAUUCUUUCCUUCAACCAAAUUUGAUGAAGUAUGUAUUACGUACCAGGCAUGGAGAUACAAAGAUUCCCAAGAUUCAGUCAUGCCCUCGGAAGGCUUGUGGCUAGUGGUAGAGACAGGUAGCCAAUUCAGUGUGGCAAGUGCUUUAAUAGAGAUUUGAGAAAAAGUUCCCAGUACAGAUCUCGCAACCUCAGGAAAAUGUUGUUGUUAGGCGCCAUCCAGUCAGGUCCUACUUAUAGCAACGCUAUGUACAACUGUAUGAAACACUGCCUGGUCCUGCCUUGUCCUCACAAAUGUUGUGUUUGAGACCGUUGUUGCUGCCACAGUGUCAAUCCGCUUCAUCGAGUGUCUUCCUCUUUUUCACUGACCCUCUAUUUUACCAGGUUCAAGUAAUCAAAAGUUUCAUUUUACUUUGAUCCACAAUUAACACCAAUGGAAACAGUAGUCUGGAAAACAAAUGAUGCAUUGCCCUGGGCAAGCCUGCUGCAGGAGACCUCUUUAAAGUGUUAAAAAGCAAAGAUGUCACCUUGAAGACUAAGGUAGAGGGUCAGUGAAAAAGAGGAAGACUCUCAACAACAUGGAUUGACACAUUGGCUGCAACAACGGGCUUGAGCAUAACAAUGAUUAUGAGAAUGGCGAGGGACAGGGCAGUAUCUCAUGCUGUUGUACAUAGAGUCCUUAUGACUCAGUGGCACCUAACAACAACAACAACAACAACAACUCUACCAAGCAUGAUAUCCUUUUCCAGAAUCUGAUCCCUCCAAAGUAUGUGAGAUGAAAUUUUGCCAUCCCGGCAUCCUAGGAGCUUUCUGAUUGUAUUUCUUUCAAGACAGACUUGUUCAUUCUUCUGGAAGGCCAUGGUAUAUAGUCAGCGCUCUUCACCAACACCGUAAUUCAAAGGCAUCAAUUCUUCUUUGAUCUUCUUUAUUCCUUGUCCAGCUUUCACAGGCAGGUGCGUCUAUUGAAAAUACCGUGGCUUAGGUCAGACGCACUUCAGUUUUCAAAGUGACAUCUUUGCUUUUUAACAGUUUCAAGAAUACUUUUGCAGCAGAUUUACCCAAUGCAAUAUGUUCUUUGAUUUCCUAACUGCUGCUUCCAUGGUUGUUUAUUGAGGAUCCAAAUAAAAUGAAAUCCUUGACAACUUCAAUAUUUUCUCCAUUUGUGAUGAUAUUGCAUAUUGGUCCAGUUGUGAGGAGUUCCAUUUUUUUCAUGUUGAAGUGCAAUCCAUACCGAAGGCUGUGGUCUUUGAUCUUCAUCAGUAAGUGCUUCAAGUCCUCUUCACUUUCGGCAAGCAAGGCUGUGUCAUCUGUGUAAUGCAGGUUGUUCAGGAGUCUUCCUCCGAUGCUGAUACCAUAUUUUUCUUCAUAUAGUUCAGCUUCUCGGGUUAUAUAGAUUGAUUGAGUAUGAUGAAAGGCUACAACGCAGAUUCGCACAAUAAUGAAACACUGCCCUGUCCUGCAUCACCCUCAGAAUCCUUGCAUGCUUGAGCCCACGUUUGCAGGCACUGUAUCAGUCCAUCUCAUUGAGGAUCUUCCUCUCUUUGUUUCUUAUGUCUCAUUAAUUCUCAGGUCAAUUAAUCUGACGUUGACUGUGGGACAAAGUAGAAGUCAACCUCUGAGUAGAAUAUUUACAUUUGUAAGCCCCCUGCAAGUCUAUUUAUCAUUUUUUUUGCAUGUUAAAAUUUUUUUGAUGGUAUUGCUUUUUAGUAUUAAGGGUUCUAAGUACUGGUAAAAAAAUGAUGUUUGAAGUUUUGUAUAAUUCCAUUGUCACAUGUAUUUUAUUGCUACGGUAACUCUAGAGUGCAGACUUAUUUUUUAUUGUAGUAGCAUUGUGUGUAGAAAUGGAGGGAACGUGCUGAACGAAAUGAGAAUUCAGAAACGAAUAAUCCAUAGAAGUGAUAUCAAACUUUGCCAUGAAGCUGGGGUUUCAAUAAGUUAUGUAACAGAAAAAGUAAAAAAGGAAUCUAUAUCCACACUCCCUUUCCCUCGUGCAAUCAUUCUCACAGUGGCUGCAUUUCUUCCCAGCCAAAUCCUAUACUUCUGUGCUUUUUUGUACAGAUGGUGGAGAUGCUGAGCAAUCAGCAGGGAAGCCUAUAUUAUAUGGAAAAUGGGAAGAAUAAUUAAGAGAGAGUAUAAAAGAGUCAGAGAAGAGAGAAUGAAUCUGGGUUUGGAAGAGACUAUUUGGAGUUGGAAGUCAAGAUAAGAUGGAAGCUUCUGGUAGCAGCUUUGGUACAUGAGGAUUUCGAGAAGGCUGAAGGCUGUUCAGCUCUCAGGAUUCUGCUCUGGUUCAACCUUAGCACCUCCUCUUAUUUGUCAAGCACUGACUACAGGAGGCAGCGCUGCUGAGUGAGGAAGGCCCUGACUUGGAAUCAGACAAGGUGGGAAUUUCUAUGUCGUGUGCCACAGAGACUCCCAGCAAG